CGCACCUUGCGCUCCUUGGUAUUCCGAGGAGCAUGCCUGUUUGAGUGUCAUGUUAUUCUCAAUCCCUCUGGUUUUUGUUAACUGGAUGGGCUUGGAUUUGGAGGUCUUCUGCUGGCCCUUGCGGUCGGCUCCUCUUGAAUACAUUAGCUGGGCUUACGCUCGAUGCAAUGGUGUAAUAAUUAUCUUCACCAGUGUAACUUGCGAAAGAAGUCUGCUUCUAAUCGUCCUUCCCUCUGGGGGACACUAUAGAGAGCAAUCUCUUGACACCUUUGACCUCAAAUCAGGUAGGACUACCCGCUGAACUUAA
rnacentral:misc_RNA from 1 species